CGCGUAGGCGGUUCGCUAAGUCGGAUGUGAAAACUCUGGGCUCAACCCAGAGCCUGCAUCUGAAACUGGCGGGCUAGAGUUCUGGAGGGGGUAGCGGAAUUCCUGGUGUAGCGGUGAAAUGCGUAGAUAUCAGGAGGAACACCGGUGGCGAAGGCGGCUACCUGGACAGAAACUGACGCUGAGGCGCGAAAGCUAGGGGAGCAAACA
rnacentral:rRNA from 1 species